rnacentral:rRNA from 1 species
UACAGAGGGCUCAAGCGUUGUUCGGAUUCAUUGGGCGUAAAGAGCUCGUAGGCGGCUUGUUGCGUCGGCUGUGAAAUCCCGAGGCUCAACCUCGGGUCUGCAGUCGAUACGAGCAAACUAGAGUGUUGCAGGGGAGACUGGAAUUCCUGGUGUAGCGGUGAAAUGCGCAGAUAUCAGGAGGAACACCGGUGGCGAAGGCGGGUCUCUGGGCCACAACUGACGCUGAGGAGCGAAAGCGUGGGGAGCGAACAGG